rnacentral:Y_RNA from 1 species
AGCUAAUAAGAAACAUGUGCUGUGGGUUAUUGUUAAGCUGUUUAACAUUGUCUCCCCCCACACCCCUGCUUGACUAGCUUAAA